AAUAAACUUUAUGUAAUGGUGGCACUUCACAUGGCUAUUGGUAUUUGCCAUUGGCUAUUUGUUGCAUUUGGCAAAAUUAUUGACGUAUACACAAACAAGCAAAUAAAGGCAAAUACGGCCUUCCACACAUGGACGUCAAAUACCAAACUUUUACUUGAUUUUGUUUACUUGCCUAUUUGACUCUUUUCAUAUGCGUCAAAAACCGACAAAGGUAAAGGAUACGUAUAUUUAUAUCUAA